GACGAACGCUGGCGGCGUGCUUAACACAUGCAAGUCGAGCGAUGAAGCUCCUUCGAGAGUGGAUUAGCGGCGGACGGGUGAGUAACACGUGGGUAACCUGCCUCAUAGAGGGGAAUAGCCUUCUGAAAGGAAGAUUAAUACCGCAUAAGAUUGUAGUACCGCAUGGUAUAGCAAUUAAAGGAGCAAUCCGCUAUGAGAUGGACCCGCGUCGCAUUAGCUAGUUGGUGAGGUAACGGCUCACCAAGGCGACGAUGCGUAGCCGACCUGAGAGGGUGAUCGGCCACAUUGGGUUUGAGACACGGCCCAGACUCCUACGGGAGGCAGCAGUGGGGAAUAUUGCACAAUGGGGGAAACCCUGAUGCAGCAACGCCGCGUGAGUGAUGACGGUCUUCGGAUUGUAAAACUCUGUCUUCAGGGACGAUAAUGACGGUACCUGAGGAGGAAGCCACGGCUAACUACGUGCCAGCCGCCGCAGUAACAC
rnacentral:rRNA from 1 species